UACAGUUUGCAGAUCUUGAGGAUAAUGUCCUGUUACAUUAAUAACAGAUUCUACACAAAAAUAAGCUUCCAGAGGCUCCUGAGCUAAACUGUCACUUUAACUUGAUCAUGAAUCACAUGACCGGCAUGGUGGGAAAAGUGCAUCUCUGAUGGAGGCCAAAAUCAUCGAGCCGAACCCAGACCAAGACCGAGGAUCAAACCAAUUCAAGACAUUUUUAAAAAUCCAUUACUAUAAAAAAUAACAUCCUCAAAGGUCCUGGUUGCACUGGUGCACUUUGCUAUUUCCAUUUAACUCAAACUGGUAUGCAAGUAAACUGCAAGUACAUACCAUACCACUUGUCUCAUAAAAAUAGUUAAAGGUAAAACUGAAAACCAGACAUUCAGCCUGUCAGCUGCCUCAACCGCAGGCAGCUGAUUCUUCGAUGCACAGGUUGCUUUCUAGGUUACGAGGAAACCUGAAUGUUGAAAGCAUCUGCAUAAGUCUGGGCUGGGAGAUGAUGGAGUUUGUGUUUACUUUGCAUGUGAGCUUUUCUAAAUUUGUUGAGUCAGCUGAAUGAGGAAGAAGUGAGGAGAGGAAGCAUUUCUUGGAAAGUGGAUCAGAUGUUUCCUGAACCUACGUUAGCUAACCUGGCGCCGUCUCUCUGCUUUGUUUGGGCUGCAAGCUUCUGCUUUUUUAGUGAAGGUUUAUAUAUGAAAUAAAUUUAAGAGUCCCACAAGAUUAGUUUCCCUUAAAGUUGCUGAAUGCUACUUUCAUUUUAAAAAAAGGAUUUUUCUCACGUAUUUGUGGAAAAAUGUCUGCAUGUCGUGAUAGUUUGGUCUAAAACAGAUAAUAUCAUCUGUCAAAAAAAAAAAACAAAAACAGAAAUCAAGCUCCUCUGCUUGCUCCCAG